rnacentral:rRNA from 1 species
AGAUUGAACGCUAGCGGCAUGCCUAACACAUGCAAGUCGAACGAAAUACCUGGCUUCGGUUGGGAUAUUUAGUGGCAGACGGGUGAGUAACGCGUGGGAAUCUACCUAGUAGUGGGGAAUAACUAUGGGAAACUAUAGCUAAUACCGCAUACGCCCUUAGGGGGAAAGGCUUCGGCCGCUAUCAGAGGAGCCCGCGUCAGAUUAGGUAGUUGGUAGGGUAAAGGCCUACCAAGCCGAUGAUCUGUAGCUGGUUUGAGAGGAUGAUCAGCCACACUGGAACUGAGACACGGUCCAGACUCCUACGGGCGGCAGC